rnacentral:rRNA from 1 species
UACGUAGGUGGCAAGCGUUGUCCGGAAUUAUUGGGCGUAAAGCGCGCGCAGGCGGUCCCUUAAGCCUGAUGUGAAAGCCCACGGCUCAACCGUGGAGGGUCAUCGGAAACUGGGGGACUUGAGUACAGAAGAGGAAAGCGGAAUUCCACGUGUAGCGGUGAAAUGCGUAGAGAUGUGGAGGAACACCAGUGGCGAAGGCGGCUUUCUGGUCUGUAACUGACGCUGAGGAGCGAAAGCGUGGGGAGCAAACAGG